rnacentral:rRNA from 1 species
GAUGAACGCUGGCGGCGUGCCUAAUACAUGCAAGUCGAACGAACAGACGAGGCACUUGCUCCUCUGACGUUAGCGGCGGACGGGUGAGUAACACGUGCAUAACCUACCUAUAAGACUGGGAUCACUUCGGGAAACCGGAGCUAAUACCGGAUAAUAUAUUGAACCGCAUGGUUCCAUAGUGAAAGACGGUUUUUCUGUCACUUAUAGAUUGAUCAGCGCCGCAUUAGAUAGUUGGUAAGUUAACGGGUUACCAAGGCAACCAUGCGUAGCCGAGGUGACAGGCUGAUCGGCGACAUUGGCAGUGGUACACAGUCCAAGGGACUGAGGGAGGCCGCAGUAGCCAAUCUUACGCAAUGGGCGAAAACAUGACGGAGCAGCGGCGCGUGAGUGAUGAAGGUCUUAGGAUCGUGAAGAUGUGUUUUGAGGGAAAAACAAAUGUGUAAGUUAAUAAGCAAGUAUUGACGGUACCUGGUGAGAAAGCAACGGCUAACUACGUG